rnacentral:lncRNA from 10 species
UGGUGUCGUAACUCAUUGGAAUCUAAAGAAAAUUAGUCUGAGUUUUUUCUUUCUCCUAAUGUAUCCCCUUUAAUUCUAGUUUUUCUAGGUUCAAAAGAAAGAGGAGUGAAGAGGAGUAAAACAUACAUCUAUUAUAAAGCAAGAAGGUUAAAUAAAUGGAAGCUUUUUAUUUUUCUUUCUCUACCUAAGGGAGAUGCCAUUGCCUUUCAUCAAGAAAACAUGUCAGGAGAUCUAAAUGUAACAAAUACUCCCCCAAAGAAUUGGAACUUCAGCAAUGGGAAGAAGCAGAAGCUCUGUCAAUCUUAACAAAUUAACAGGCAGAUUGGUGAGUGUGAGCUUUCUCAUCCAGUAAGCCUUGGUGCCCCUGAGGAUAUUGUGUGGAUUGGCAUUUUUGAAUUGUGAAUGAUAAAAUCUUUUUUCCCUUAAGACUGCAAUACAAGAAAAGGAAAAAACUUAAGAAAAGUCAGAUCUCAGAUGGAAGAGGGUGGAAUCUUUGUUUAUAAAUAAAAACAGCAGCUGUCUUUUUUUUUUUUUUUUUUUUUUUGGUGGAUCUAUGUUAUUUGAUAAAUCAGGGAUUGAAAUUAUUAUCAGAAGGGGAGUGUUUGGCCUACACAGAGAAGAACUUGGAGUUGAAAUCAUGUUAAUGAAGCAACACAAUGUAAUCAGUGAGUAGGUAUUAUGUCUUAGAUGUCUAAGAAAAUUUGUCCACAAAAACAUAUAAACAAAAGAGUUGUUUUUCUUGGUUCCCUAGUAGAAACCUAAAUCUAUUUUUUAAAUCUACCCAAAAAUCUACUCCCCCUGAUUCUCGUGACGAUGUUCUCAUUUUCUUUUGGGAAACUGUCUGUCAUCCAUUAUCUAUUUUGGUAUUUCAGGUGGUUGCUGCGUGGUAGAAGCUUGGCUCAUCAGAAAGUUCCAGCCUCCAACCACAGUUGAAAUGGCCCACAUCCAUUGGAGCAAAGAAAAAGGUCAGUAAUUUGUUAGAAUUUUGAGAAAAGAGGGUUUCUUUGCACUAGGAUUGUGGAAUUUAGUAGGAAUACCAUGGUUUAGGAAAAGUGUACUUGAGAUAGAAAAACUCCAUAGAAGAAAGAGAAGCCCAGAGAUGGGAAAAGAG